CCUACGGGAGGCUGCAGUGGGGAAUAUUGCACAAUGGGGGAAACCCUGAUGCAGCGACGCCGCGUGAGUGAAGAAGUAUUUCGGUACGUAAAGCUCUAUCAGCAGGGAAGAAAAUGACGGUACCUGACUAAGAAGCCCCGGCUAACUACGUGCCAGCAGCCGCGGUAAUACGUAGGGGGCAAGCGUUAUCCGGAUUUACUGGGUGUAAAGGGAGCGUAGACGGCAGCGCAAGUCUGGAGUGAAAUCCCAUGGCUUAACCAUGGAACUGCUUUUGAAACUGUGCAGCUAGAGUGCAGGAGAGGUAAGCGGAAUUCCUAGGGUAGCGGUGAAAUGCGUAGAUAUUAGGAGGAACACCAGUGGCGAAGGCGGCUUACUGGACUGUAACUGACGUUGAGGCUCGAAAGCGUGGGGAGCAAACAGGAUUAGAUACCCCGGUAGUC
rnacentral:rRNA from 1 species